rnacentral:lncRNA from 1 species
UUUCGAUCAUUAUUUCAUCAAAAUUCUACAAUCUUAUCUAAUUAAAUCGGAUAAAGUUUACCUUUUGUUUAAAAUUAUUACUGUAAUCGUUUAUUUUUUGAGUUCGUUUUCGAUUAUGGCUAUAGUUGUGAAUUUUGUCUGAAUUAUAUUAGAAUUCAUUAGAAAAUGUGUCUGCACUUUGCUGCGGGCGUUGAAUAUAUUAGUUGCAACAAGCUUACAAGCAUGAAUUGUUUCCACAAAGCAACUAAAAAGACGUUGUAGUACCUAAGAACCAAUGAAGUUAAACUUUGCUUGCUAUAU